UAGGGAAUAUUGCGCAAUGGGCGAAAGCCUGACGCAGCGACGCCGCGUGUGGGAGGAAGCCUUUCGGGGUGUAAACCACUGUCAGGGGGGAAGAACGGCGCCGGGUCGAACAGGCUCGGCGAUUGACGGUACCCUCAGAGGAAGCGCCGGCUAACUCCGUGCCAGCAGCCGCGGUAAGACGGAGGGCGCAAGCGUUGUUCGGAAUUACUGGGCGUAAAGCGCGGGCAGGUGGUUUGUUAAGUCGUUUGUGAAAAUCCGGGGCUCAACCCCGUGAAAUGCAGACGAUACUGGCAGACUGGAGAUCGGUAGAGGCUAGCGGAAUUCCUGGUGUAGCGGUGGAAUGCGUAGAUAUCAGGAAGAACACCUGUGGCGAAGGCGGCUAGCUGGGCCGAGUCUGACACUCAUCCGCGAAAGCGUGGGGAGCAAACAGGAUUAGAUACCCCCGUAGUCC
rnacentral:rRNA from 1 species